rnacentral:lncRNA from 1 species
UUUCCUUGGUAAUGCAAUCCAAUCCAAUCUCUACGCGGAUUCAGCCAGAGUCCUCCUCCAACUCCCAACUUCUCCGCCGCGCCUACAAAUACCCUGCCCUGUAGUCUCUAGUCUCGACAUACGAUCAAGCAACCAUGGCGGCGAAGGACGGCGACGGCGACGACGAGUACCUGCAGAUGGUGCGAGUUCAGCUGGCCAGCGCGGAAGCUCGCAUGGACGCGAUCCAGGAAGCCGUGGCGAGGAACCGGGAGCGGCUAGCAACGGCGGAGAUGGUCGUCGC